rnacentral:rRNA from 1 species
UCCUACGGGGGGGCAGCAGUGGGGAAUUUUGGACAAUGGGCGAAAGCCUGAUCCAGCAAUGCCGCGUGUGUGAAGAAGGCCUUCGGGUUGUAAAGCACUUUUGUCCGGAAAGAAAACUUCUGCCCUAAUACGGCGGGAGGAUGACGGUACCGGAAGAAUAAGCACCGGCUAACUACGUGCCAGCAGCCGCGGUAAUACGUAGGGUGCGAGCGUUAAUCGGAAUUACUGGGCGUAAAGCGUGCGCAGGCGGUUUGUUAAGACCGAUGUGAAAUCCCCGGGCUCAACCUGGGAACUGCAUUGGUGACUGGCAAGCUAGAGUAUGGCAGAGGGGGGUAGAAUUCCACGUGUAGCAGUGAAAUGCGUAGAGAUGUGGAGGAAUACCGAUGGCGAAGGCAGCCCCCUGGGCCAAUACUGACGCUCAUGCACGAAAGCGUGGGGAGCAAACAGGAUUAGAUACCCCC